GAAAUUUCGGGUUUGUAGUUUCCGAUAGCCAAAGUCUCGAUUCUGGCACCUCAUCUGAGGGUUCCUGACUUUGACUCGUCCACUUUGUCAUCGACCGUGGUAGGAGCGGGAGUGAUUGCUAGUUUAGAGUUUGGAUGAUCGUGAGGUGCUACAAAUCACCGUAAGAGUAGGCUAGUUAGUUUGGCAAGGUAGAAUCGUGGAUUGUUGGCGAAACAAGUCCAGACUAGUUGGCCAGGUACUCUAUCCGGCGUCUUCGAAAUCUGCUGCUGCGCUACAACCCAUCCGUUUCGAACGUCCGUCGGAGAAACCCGCCGUACCACACCCGGUGGCAAAAGACCCGGCAAGUCGCCACGUGCCGGAAGAAGCGUGACGUCACCAACGCGCUUAAGGUCAUCCCGUCGGGUCCAACACGUCCAUCCGGACCACGUGGGAGAUCAUCGAGGAACGACAACUUCCGGAACCGAACCCGGAUCUGCUGAACGACCGUCGGGGAUUCCCGACGCCGCUGCUGUAACAACCAACAACAGGUCAGACCGUGAGUAGUACCAAAAUCCAUGCGCAUGUGAUCACAGCCCCCUGAGGGUACCCCAUGAAAAGCGCGUGCCGCGCCAAAUGAACACGCACACGUAAAGCACGCAGCCCAAAACGUGCACUUGGGCGGAUAGGUAGGGAAAGGGAAGAGAGACAGGUUAGCCGAGACGGCUAAGGCGCCAGUAGGAAGAUGAACACAAAUUAACCGAAGAAGCUUGCAAGCGAGAUGGUCGCAGUUCGAAUCCCGUUGGGAUCAAACCGUUUUUUUGUGAACACCCCCACGAUGUAAAUACACUUCGA